rnacentral:rRNA from 1 species
AUUGAACGCUGGCGGCAGGCCUAACACAUGCAAGUCGAACGGUAACAGGAAGCAGCUUGCUGCUUUGCUGGCGAGUGGCGGAUGGGUGAGUAAUGACUGGGAAACUGCCUGAUUGAGGGUGAUUACAACUGGAAACGGUAGCUAAUACCGCAUAACGUCGCCAGACUAAAGAGGGGUGGCUUAGUGCCUCGUUCCAUCGGAGGCUCCCGGGUGGGCUUCGCUAGUAGGGGGGGUAACGGCUCACCUAGGUGACGAUCCCUAGCUGGUCUGAGAGGAUGACCAGCCACACUGGAACUGAGACACGGUCCAGACUCCUACGGGAGGCAGCAGUGGGGAAUAUUGCACAAUGGGCGCAAGCCUGAUGCAGCCAUGCCGCGUGUAUGAAGAAGGCCUUCGGGUUGUAAAGUACUUUCAGCGGGGAGGAAGGGAGUAAAGUUAAUACCUUUGCUCAUUGACGUUACCCGCAGAAGAAGCACCGGCUAACUCCGUG